GAGUGAGGCAGCAUCUAUGGAGUGAAGGAAAUAGGCAAUGUUUUGGGUCAAGACCCUUCUUCAGACAGGAUUGAUUAGUUGUUUGUCAGUAAUAACGCCAGAUUUAGAAUGAAAUUGUGGGAAGUGGUGGUGUUGGGCCAAUGAAGGUUUUUUUUUCUGUUUUAACUAACUGAUGCUAUGUAUUACUUUCUUAAGGUAUGCCCUAGCCUCUCACUACCUGUGGGCACUCUGGGCUAUUAUACAAGCAAAGCUUUCCACAAUUGAGUUCGGUUACAUGGAUUAUGCCCUGUAUAGACUGGAAGCCUACUUUGAUCAGAAGAGAAUACUUGGUUGACUUGCUGUACAGUGCUAGCACUGCUUGGAAUUUAGCACGUUUCUGUUAUUAAUUAUUUUUAAAAAUUGCAUUUUGCUUCAAAUGAGUCCAGGACCAUUUUAAACCUGAUCAGUGACUGCACUUUGAAAUCACACAAAUGUAGGUCGAUGAACUCGAAUCACAGACUAAAAAUGGUGAUCAUGGACUUCUUGGAAGAGCUGUGGUUGAGAAAGUUAAUCUCCAGUCCUGUGAAACCCUGGGUCACAGAUGAUCGUGCAGGAGUUUGUAGCAAUAUGUUUCUUGUGUGUGUUCUUGUACUGUGUAUCUCCGUCCUCAUGCUCCAGCUGUCUCCCAACACAUGAACUACAAGGCUGGUUUUCCUUGUCACGACAGUGCUUUUAAGUAGCCGUUUGUGCUGGAUAUUUUGAUUAAGAUGGUCUGAUUGGACUGAUUAAGACCUUGGGGUUUACUUUGAUGAUUUAAGUUAAUGGUGUCUCUGGCAAAGCCAGCACUUGUCAUCCCUAAGUGCUAUCAAACAGGUGACGAAAGAUUAUCUUGAAUGCUGAAAGGUAUUUCAAAGUUGUUGGGUAGGGUGUUCUAAGAUUUAAACAUGAUGGUAAAGAAGAAAUGACUCCACAUUAGCCAUUUAUUAGAAACAUAACCUGUGGGUGGUGUUCCAGUGCACCUGUUACCCUCUUUGUUUUUGAUGGAAGAGUUCACAUAACCACAGAAGUAAUUGGGUGUCGGUUUGAAUAUGCUUCCACACCAUUUGAUGAAAAUAAAAUGAGUACAGUUAAACAAUG